rnacentral:piRNA from 1 species
UCGCAGGUGGAGUGGCUGAAACUUCUCAGC